rnacentral:rRNA from 1 species
UUGAUCCUGGCUCACGAUGAACCGCGGGCGGCGUGCCUCACACCUGCAAGUCGAACGGACUUAGAUGAAACCUAGUGAUUUUAAGUUAGUGGCGGACGGGUGAGUAACGCGUGGGCAACCUGCCUCAUACAGGGGGAUAACACUUAGAAAUAGGUGCUAAUACCGCAUAAGCGCACGGGAUCGCAUGAUUUUGUGUGAAAAACUCCGGUGGUAUGAGAUGGACCCGCGUCUGAUUAGCUAGUUGGUGGGGUAACGGCCUACCAAGGCGACGAUCAGUAGCCGGCCUGAGAGGGUGACCGGCCACAUUGGGACUGAGACACGGCCCAAACUCCUACGGGAGGCAGCAGUGGGGAAUAUUGCACAAUGGGGGAAACCCUGAUGCAGCAACGCCGCGUGAGUGAAGAAGUAUUUCGGUAUGUAAAGCUCUAUCAGCAGGGAAGAAAAAAGACGGUACCUGACUAAGAAGCACCGGCUAAAUACGUGCCAGCAGCCGCGGUAAUACGUAUGGUGCAAGCGUUAUCCGGAUUUACUGGGUGUAAAGGGAGCGUAGACGGCAUAGCAAGUCUGAAGUGAAAGCCCGGGGCUCAACCGCGGGACUGCUUUGGAAACUGUUAAGCUGGAGUGCAGGAGAGGUAAGCGGAAUUCCUGGUGUAGCGGUGAAAUGCGUAGAUAUCAGGAGGAACACCGGUGGCGAAGGCGGCUUACUGGACUGUAACUGACGUUGAGGCUCGAAAGCGUGGGGAGCAAACAGGAUUAGAUACCCUGGUAGUCCACGCUGUAAACGAUGAUUACUAGGUGUUGGUGUCUUAGGGACAUCGGUGCCGCAGCAAACGCAAUAAGUUUCCACCUGGG